UACGGAGGGUGCAAGCGUUAUCCGGAUUCACUGGGUUUAAAGGGUGCGUAGGUGGGUCUGUAAGUCAGUGGUGAAAUCUCCGGGCUUAACCCGGAAACUGCCAUUGAUACUAUAGGUCUUGAAUUUUCUGGAGGUUAGCGGAAUAUGACAUGUAGCGGUGAAAUGCUUAGAUAUGACAUAGAACACCAAUUGCGAAGGCAGCUAACUACAGGGAUAUUGACACUGAGGCACGAAAGCGUGGGGAUCAAACAGG
rnacentral:rRNA from 1 species